AUUGAACGCUGGCGGCAGGCCUAACACAUGCAAGUCGAGCGGAUGAAGGGAGCUUGCUCCUGGAUUCAGCGGCGGACGGGUGAGUAAUGCCUAUGAAUCUGCCUGGUAGUGGGGGAUAACGUCCGGAAACGGGCGCUAAUACCGCAUACGUCCUGAGGGAGAAAGUGGGGGAUCUUCGGACCUCACGCUAUCAGAUGAGCCUAGGUCGGAUUAGCUAGUUGGUGGGGUAAAGGCCUACCAAGGCGACGAUCCGUAACUGGUCUGAGAGGAUGAUCAGUCACACUGGAAGUGAGACACGGUCCAGACUCCUACGGGAGGCAGCAGUGGGGAAUAUUGGACAAUGGGCGAAAGCCUGAUCCAGCCAUGCCGCGUGUGUGAAGAAGGUCUUCGGAUUGUAAAGCACUUUAAGUUGGGAGGAAGGGCAGUAAGUUAAUACCUUGCUGUUUUGACGUUAACAACAGAAUAAGCACCGGCUAACUUCGUG
rnacentral:rRNA from 1 species